UACGUAGGGGGCAAGCGUUGUCCGGAAUCAUUGGGCGUAAAGCGCGCGUAGGCGGCCCGGUAAGUCCGCUGUAAAAGUCCAGGGCUCAACCCUCGAAUGCCGGUGGAUACUGUCGGGCUAGAGUGCGGAAGAGGCGAGUGGAAUUCCUGGUGUAGCGGUGAAAUGCGCAGAUAUCAGGAGGAACACCAAUUGCGAAGGCAGCUCGCUGGAACGUAACUGACGCUGAGACGCGAAAGCGUGGGGAGCAAACAGG
rnacentral:rRNA from 1 species